UACGUAGGGUGCGAGCGUUAAUCGGAAUUACUGGGCGUAAAGCGCGCGUAGGCGGCUUUGCAAGUCGGGUGUGAAAUCCCCAGGCUUAACCUGGGAACUGCAUUCGAGACUGCAUUGCUAGAGUAUGGGAGAGGGAAGUGGAAUUUCCGGUGUAGCGGUGAAAUGCGUAGAUAUCGGAAGGAACAUCAGUGGCGAAAGCGACUUCCUGGACCAAUACUGACGCUCAUGUGCGAAAGUGUGGGGAGCAACAGG
rnacentral:rRNA from 1 species